CAAAGGUACAGAAUGGAUCUUGAAGGAAAGGGUCGUUGCUGGGCCUCCAAAAGAACCCCGUGUAGACAUUGAGAACCUUCGGCCUCCUGACCU
rfam:Myotis lucifugus cont2.44000, whole genome shotgun sequence.